rnacentral:lncRNA from 1 species
GUUUUGAUUAGACAGUGGCUUUCCUGAAUCUACUUUUCCCUUUUCUCAUGGAUGUCUCACAUGUAUGUGAUUCUGGCUGUUCUUUUAAUCCCACAGGGCUCUGCAGAAUGAAACUCACUCAAAAAUGUAGAACUGUAUGAAGUAAAGAAGGAGAUGCUGCAGGGAGUCCUGGCUGGAAAAGUUGUGGGUCUUCCACAAAUUACAAAAGCAGGGAAGUAGACCCAGGAAAAACUUCCUAUAUUACGGUGUGUGUGUGCAGAAGCCAAACCAAAGUAGUAAACUUCAACCACUUUGGAAGGAAGCAUCGAUCCAGUUCUAACAUCGAUACAACUACAGACAAGUGAACUACAAGUCAAGAUUUAAUGCAGCGUGAAAAUGUUCUGAGCAGUAUUUAUGAUCACAUUCAGUACUUAACUGGCUAUUGUGUUGAUGCACCAUUAGGUAGUGGAUAAUGUAACUGUUCCUU